CUUGCUUCUCGGCCUUUUGUCUAAGAUCAUGUGUAGUAUCUGUUCUUAUCAGUGGUUUAGGAUUUGGCCAUUGAUGUGGGAUGGAUGCUGGAUGGAGGGAGCAGGUGUUUCGGGGCUGGUUGUGAUGAAUCAGCUUGACGGCUGUCCUGAUGUAACCGGUUUCCUCCGGGUCUCGCCAUGAGGUGCCAAAACUCACU